rnacentral:rRNA from 1 species
CGGACGGGUGAGUAACGCGUGGGUAACCUGCCGUAUGCAGGGGGAUAACACUUAGAAAUAGGUGCUAACACCGCAUAAGCGCACGGAGACGCAUGUUUCUGUGUGAAAAACUCCGGUGGCAUACGAUGGACCCGCGUCUGAUUAGCCAGUUGGCAGGGUAACGGCCUACCAAAGCGACGAUCAGUAGCCGGCCUGAGAGGGCGGACGGCCACAUUGGGACUGAGACACGGCCCAAACUCCUACGGGAGGCAGCAG